UACGAAGGGGGCUAGCGUUGUUCGGAAUUACUGGGCGUAAAGGGCGCGUAGGCGGUACUUCAAGUCAGGCGUGAAAGCCCCGGGCUCAACCUGGGAACCGCGCUUGAGACUGGAGAACUAGAGUUCGGGAGAGGAUGGUGGAAUUCCCAGUGUAGAGGUGAAAUUCGUAGAUAUUGGGAAGAACACCGAUGGCGAAGGCAGCCAUCUGGACCGACACUGACGCUGAGGCGCGAAAGCGUGGGGAGCAACCAGG
rnacentral:rRNA from 1 species